AUUGAACGCUGGCGGCAGGCCUAACACAUGCAAGUCGAACGAGUGGCGGACGGGUGAGUAAUGUCUGGGACACUGCCUGAUGGAGGGGGAUAACUACUGGAAAGGGUAGCUAAUCCCGCAUACCAUCAGAUGUACACAGAUGGGCUUAGCUUGUUGGGGGGGUAACGGCUCACCAAGGCGAAGCGCCCUAGCUGGGCUGAGAGGAUGACCAGCCACACUGGAACUGAGACACGGUCCAGACUCCUACGGGAGGCAGCAGUGGGGAAUAUUGCACAAUGGGCGCAAGCCUGAUGCAGCCAUGCCGCGUGUGUGAAGAAGGCCUUCGGGUUGUAAAGUACUGUCAUCGGGGAGGCGGUACCCGCAGAAGAAGCACCGGCUAACUCCGUGCCAGCAGCCGCGGUAAUUC
rnacentral:rRNA from 1 species